GGCAAUGUGAAAGAUAUGUCUAAAGUAUCUUUCCUUUAGGGACAAGGAACGGGAAGAGGAACAGUAAGCAAGAGGCAAUGAAGCAACAUUACUGACUUACAUUAUACAGCAUCCUUGUACAAACAUCAAAAAAGAGACUUGAAAUUUUUUUUUUCUUAGAAUAAGCUGCCUCUAUACCUUUUCCAUGCUAUUUAGGGCAGUUCUCAGCCUGCACUUUAUUAUCUUUCACACAUGAAGAUGGUCACAUUCCGACUCCACCUGAAUGUUCAGCUUCAGACUCACUGCAUUACUUUCUUCUAGACAAACUACACAUGGACAGAUUGGUGGUGAUUCUGCCCUCUGCGACACUGCCUGAAUCAAUGGCAGGAGCUGUUCCCAAGGGGAACUCAAAGGAUAUAUCCAAGAAGUCCCAGGAUAUACUCAUGGUUCCUGCCCUGAGGGUCAAAUGAUGACAACACAGAGAUUGAUGGACGCCCAGUCGGGAUCUGGGGCUUUACAAUCUGCACAGCUCCUGUUGGACUCAUUGAACCAAAUCUUCUCAGCUACUUCAUAAUCAGAGAGAGUUUCUGCUAUUGAUUGCUGCACAGCUUCAAUCCAGUCUUGUUUCUCUUUUUCAGACUCGGCUGUAAAGCUGAAACAAUUAACGUUUCUGCAUUAUCGAUCUCCUUUGUAAAGGCCAAUUAAGCAGUAUGUUCAGUUUGCAUAUUCAUUUCCUCACAAAUUAAAAACCAGCUGAAAAUUAUGCUUGCCAAGCAGUUCUGGAUUAUCCUUUCUGCUAAAAAUCGUCUGAUUUAACAAAUCGGUUUUCUCUCUUUAAACUUUCCAUAUUGUUUAUGACUUUGUUUACAUAUCUUGAACCAAAAUGACCACACACAUUUUUCUUAUCAAGAUAUAAAAACUUCCUUGUUAAAUCAAAAGCUUAAAUAAGAGGCCAUGUUUCCUAAACAAGGGUAAUAUACUCAUUGAUCAGAGACUGGCAGAAUUUGAAGACUACCAGAAUAUUUUGCCAAGUAAAUAUGCCAUGAUAGUCUGAGAUUAAACUACCAAAAACACCCACUGAUUUUUUUUUAAAGUUAAAAAUAGAUUUUUUUUUUUAAAUUAGAAGAAUGUCCAGAUGGCUUUGAGAGAUUGAGAAGCCAGAAAAGUUUUAAGUGGAUACUAUUCUAACACAUCCAUAACUCAUUUUUAACCAUAUUCUGACUUACUCCGCUUCUUAGUAUUUCAUGAGCACUUGACUGAAGGGAUAAAACAUGAAACAGCAGUUCACUCCUUCAGGAAAGCUUUACUGAGUACCCACAGUGUGCCAGUCAAUCACUAACAAAAUGAAUCAUCACAUUACAAUUUUCUGCUCUAAAAGUUCAAAUGCUUUGAAAUACAAUGAAAAUAAUAGCUGGUUAACAACUUCUAAAUAAUCUAUGAAAGUACAUGGCUUACAUAUAUUUUCUGAAGCACUUCAUGAUUCUAUCAUUAUAAUACUAAUAAAAUUGUUAGUUAUUUCAAGUUAUACUGGAGAUUAUUGUUCAUAGCCAGUAUCGUUAUUUUAUUUAUCCAGUCUUUUUACUUUUAUUUACUUUUUUGUGUGUUUGAUGUUUUUUUGUUCUUUUGUUUGCUUGUAUAGGAGGAACUCUGUUUUCCAAAUGUAGGGCCUCAGGCAUGCUAGGAAAUCACUCUACUAUUGAGCUACAUCCCCAGACCCAGAAUCUGCAAGUGUUAAAAUAAACACUUGUUUUUUAUUCAAUCAUUUCUUUCUCAAAACUUGAGCCAGUCCCAGCAGUAGGGAGGCUGAAGCAAGAGAAUCACCACAAGCUCAAGGCCUGUCUGGGUUACAUAGUGAAUUCAAGGUCAGAUCCUGUCUUUUAAAAAGAGAGCCAGGACACAUUUUGACACACAAAAUGAGUAAUGAAUUUAGCAGUAUCUUUGAUAUUGUUAAGUAAUCAUUACUCUUUCCGAAAAUCUGAAACAAAUGCU
rnacentral:lncRNA from 1 species